UACGAGGGGGGCGAGCGUUGUUCGGAAUUAUUGGGCGUAAAGGGUGCGUAGGCGGCCUGACAAGUCUGAUGUGAAAUCCCUGGGCUCAACCCAGGGCCUGCAUCGGAAACUGUCGGGCUUGAGUCCGGGAGAGGUGAGUGGAACUGCGAGUGUAGAGGUGAAAUUCGUAGAUAUUCGCAAGAACACCGGUGGCGAAGGCGGCUCACUGGCUCAUUUCUGACGCUCAGGCGCGACAGCGUGGGGAUCAAACAGG
rnacentral:rRNA from 1 species